UGACCCGAGUUCUGCAGGCCGGUGACGAUGAACUACGCUGAUAAAGGCAAGGGACCCGAGUUCUGCAGGCCGGUGAUGGUGAACUAUGAUAAUUAGGGCAUGGGACCCGAGUUCGUACAGACCGAUGAUGGUGAACUACGGUAAUUGGGGCAUGGGACCCGAGUUCGUACAUAACGGUAAUUGGGGCAUGGGACCUGAGCUCGUACAUAACGGUGAUGGUGAACUACGGUUAUUGGGGCAUGGGACCUGAGCUUUUACAGGCCAGUGAUCGUGAACUACGGUAAUUGGGGCAUGCGGCCUUGGCUAACACCUUGUUUAAAAAAAAAAAUCACUGCUCUUUUCUUUCGUGAAAUAACGCAGACUAUCAAAAGUAGACAAUGUAUGCAACGAUUUAAGAUCUGCAAGAAUCAUUCAACAAAAAUCGGUUUGAACGUGCAUGUCCAGUGCCAUUCAUUAACCCAAAUGCAAUGCAAACAUGCAUGGAUUAUUUCAGUAUGUCGCUAGCCCCCCGUCCUCCCAGCAUGACCACUGGGACCUGCACCCAGCUAGCUUCAUCUGGACCUCCGGCCCGGAGGAAAACCACUGCGGGAUCAACGCUCAUGCAUCAAGAUCAGGGACGAGCUGCAGUCUCCACCUCUACUGUCUGUGGUAACGGCAGGUACUACAGUGGCAGGCGGUCUGGUUCUUCACCAACUCUGUGUUUCCGUUUCCUAAGGGGAGUGGGGAACGCUUUGGAGAAGCAGCAACCCAUGCACUGGUACACCGGUCUCUCCCGAGAGAACAGAGGGUUUCUCCUCAGAGUGCAUUCACCGCAGCCCACUGGGAAACCAUCAAUGACCCCGGAUUAAUAAACCA